rnacentral:rRNA from 1 species
CACGUAGGGCGCAAGCGUUGUCCGGAAUUAUUGGGCGUAAAGGGUCCGUAGGCGGAUCUGUAAGUCAGUGGUGAAAUCUCACAGCUUAACUGUGAAACUGCCAUUGAUACUGCAGGUCUUGAGUAAGGUAGAGGUGGCUGGAAUAAGUAGUGUAGCGGUGAAAUGCAUAGAUAUUACUUAGAACACCAAUUGCGAAGGCAGGUCACUAUGUCUUAACUGACGCUGAUGGACGAAAGCGUGGGGAGCGAACAGG